AUUUCUUGGGCCUCUCCUGCGGCAUAUGGAGUUUCCCAGGCUAGGGGUCAAAUCGGAGCUGUAGCCACUGGCCUACACCACAGCCACAGCAACGUGGGAUCUGAGCCAUGUCUGCGACCUACAUCACAGUUCAUGGCAACGCCGGAUCCUUAACCCACUGAGCAAGGCCAGGGAUCAAACCCGAAAACCUCAUGGUUCCUAGUUGGAUUUGUCAACCACUGAGCCACAACGGGAACUCCAUUGCUUAUCUUCAAUGAAAAACAUUUUUAAAGAUGAAUGAUUUAGUAAAUUAGACGUUAAAAAGUCUUAAAAUUGACAGAACACUGCAAACCAGCUAUAAUGGAAAAAAAUAAAAAUCAUUAUUAAAAAAAUAAAAUGAAGUGACAUCAACAAAUAUAAAUAAAUAAAAUUUAACCCAUCCUGAGAUACUUUAUAGUCAAUACAAUCGAAUCAAUUUCCUUUUUUUUUUAAAUAGCUUCAGAGUAUUUUAAUAUAUGGAUGACUAUGGAUAUGUGCUUGGGUUCUUUCUAAUUUUUUGCUGUAACAUCUUUGAACAGUGAAUUCAGAACCGACAUGGUUAAACUGCAAAGUCAGAUUUGCCCAGAUCUAUGGCCUUUGACCUUUAGCUUCCAACCCUGCCUCAAUUCUUCUUCUGAUGGUCAAGUUCUUUGGCUGCUUGCUCACCGUCACCACAUGCCUCUCGUCUCCUCCAUAAAGAAGGAGGGAGAGCAAUGCAGGAUGGGAGAGAGAUGGUCUGGUUCCAAAUUUUUGAGGUAAAUGCAAGGUUACCUUUUCAGGUCAAAGUGAAAAGUAACACAUUCAAAUGUGCUAAACCAUUGAUAUUUUCAAAAUUUUAACGCAAAGACUUCUCCUGCAUAACCCCCUCCCCCCCCCGCGCUUUUUCCAACAUGCAUUAAUCUAACCACACGCAUAUAAUUCCUUUUGCCUGCUGGGUACCAGUCAUUUACGGUGAAGAAUUACUAACAACCACAGUGCAGGCAGAGAACUCCCUUGUAGAGUAUUGCUUUUUCCUGCCUUUAAAGAUCAAAUUUCCACAAGCACCAGAUAGUUUGAUCCUAACCUGUCUCCAUCUGCAGCUUCAUAUAGAUUUAUAAUUAGAUCCAUCUCCACCAAGGGGCAACGUAACUUGAAAAAAAAAGAUGGUUCAAUGUUUUUGAUAAAAAGGGCUAAAUGGAGAGCCUCCUAGUGAUUCAGAAAAGAUGUCAACUUUCUGGCAUGUAGCAAAAGCCGCGUAAGGAUGUGAACCACACAUUCCAAAUUACUGGCUACAUCUUAAAUGACUGAAUAAUUUCUAACAGAGAAAUUGUCAUUUAAGGUGUUGCAUAUCAGAACGUGCUUAACAAGACCUUAGGGAUAGGUCAAAAUACCAUGAUUGCCCAUCUUUCAUUUCUACAUAUCUUACUGCUGCAUUUUACGUGAGGCACUGCUGGUCUGUACAGAAUGUUUCCGGAAAAUCAAAGUUUAUUAAUGUCCUGCUGAAAUGAAUUACCACGUCUCUUUCACUCCAUUUAAUCCCAGUGUUCAUUCUAGGCCAGGGGACUGUGAUAGUUUGCUAGAAAGGAUAAUAUUUCUGGAAUAAAUGUUCUUUCUAGUCUGAGCUACACGACACCAACAAAACCUGUUGAAAAGAGAAAAUUCAUUCCUACCUGACACCAAAUAACUGUUUUGACUGAUUAUUUUCUCUGAACUGACAGGUUGUUUUGGCAAUGUAGACACAGCUUAGUCAAUUCAGUGCAUGAAUGAUACAUGAGGGGUUCCGUAUUCAAAGCAGAAAAAUUGUACAGUUGUUCACUCAACAUUCAGAGUAGUUAUUUAGCUCAAUGACACCUAUUUUAAAAGUACUGACUAUAUAAAAAGCUUUUUUUCAAUGUAUUAAUCUUACUCACUACAAAAAAUUGGAAAAUAAUGACAAUGGAUGCUUAAUAGGUUUUUAAUAACUGAUGAAGUGACAGACAUAUAAAAAUCUGCAAAAAACAUCAUGAGCUCCCACUUUUAUAAAUCUGUCACAGUCACAGUCACUGUAAAAAAGUUGUAUGCACAAGUGCCCCUUGAAUGAUUAUUUAUAAUCAGAAAGCGGAAACCAUCAAGAUCUACAAUAAGAAAGUAGUUAAAUAAACGAAGGCACAUUUUAUUUCUCCUUCUCUGCAGAGUGCAAGGAUGAGUUCUGAAACCUGAGUUAAUUUCAGGAUACGCACUGCUCUUCAUUACUCCCCACCACCCGCUGGAAGGAGUGGUUUCAGAAGCUGAGUCAAUUCCAAGAUGGUGCAGCACACUGAGAAUGGGCUCCAAACAUGAGGAAGCUGAUUCCUGUCCUCUGUUGAAAUAGUUCUGAUCCGACUGAUUUGUUCUUGGCUCUGUGUGCCAGCGAACGCAGGAAAGUUUUAAUUACCUAGAAAAUAUACUGUCAUUUCCCCUGGGAUAUGGGAAUUGGAGAGUGAUUGUCAAAAACCUUAUGAAGAGAAAUAAGCACCUUGUGAGAUUAAGCACUGUGCCAGCUUGAUUCCAUCGUACUAAUUUACCAGGCCCUGUCUUAUUAAAACGAACAGAUUUCUUGAGGCUUUUUCCUCCUCGUGAUUAUUAUUAGAAAAGCCCAUAAUGGAGUUCCUGAUUUCACGGAAAGUCGUAUUCUUUGCAGUGUUAUUUACCACAGGUGAGGGGGAGGGUGUCUUUUCACGUACGCCAGUGAAACCUUAAUGAAGGGGUCCCUGUGUACGUGUAUUUUCUCUGCAUGGGAGUCGCCUGAAUGUCAGCCCUCAGGACACAUUCUUCCCUCUAAACCUAGGAGUGUAAUUUCCUACAAAACUUCUAUUUUAAAGCCUACACAUAAGGCUUUUAAAAAAUGCCACUCAGAAAGCAACUUG
rnacentral:lncRNA from 1 species